AUUGAACGCUGGCGGCAUGCUUUACACAUGCAAGUCGAACGGCAGCGCGGGCUUCGGCCUGGCGGCGAGUGGCGAACGGGUGAGUAAUACAUCGGAACGUGCCCAGUAGUGGGGGAUAGCUCGGCGAAAGCCGGAUUAAUACCGCAUACGACCUGAGGGUAAAAGCGGGGGAUCUUCGGACCUCGCGCUAUUGGAGCGGCCGAUGGCAGAUUAGCUAGUUGGUGGGGUAAAGGCCUACCAAGGCGACGAUCUGUAGCUGGUCUGAGAGGACGACCAGCCACACGGGGACUGAGACCCGGCCCAGACCCCCAGGGGGGGCAGCGGUGGGGAAUUUGGGACAAUGGGCGAAAGCCUGAUCCAGCAAUGCCGGGGGUGUGAGGAAGGCCUUCGGGUUGUAAAGCACUUUUGGCGGGAACGAAAAGGACUGGGCCAAUACCACGGUUCGAUGACGGUACCCGAAGAAUAAGCCCCGGCUAACUACGU
rnacentral:rRNA from 1 species